rnacentral:rRNA from 1 species
UACGUAGGGUGCGAGCGUUGUCCGGAAUUAUUGGGCGUAAAGGGCUCGUAGGCGGUUUGUCACGUCGGGAGUGAAAACUCGGGGCUUAACCCCGAGCCUGCAGUGGAUACGGGCAGACUAGAGGUAGGUAGGGGAGAAUGGAAUUCCCGGUGUAGCGGUGAAAUGCGCAGAUAUCGGGAGGAACACCGGUGGCGAAGGCGGUUCUCUGGGCCUUACCUGACGCUGAGGAGCGAAAGCGUGGGGAGCGAACAGG